rnacentral:rRNA from 1 species
UAAAGAUUCAUCGCUGAUAGAUAGGCAUGCGUUCCAUUAGGCAGUUGGCGGGGUAACGGCCCACCAAACCGACGAUGGAUAGGGGUUCUGAGAGGAAGGUCCCCCACAUUGGUACUGAGACACGGACCAAACUCCUACGGGAGGCAGCAGUGAGGAAUAUUGGUCAAUGGGCGUAAGCCUGAACCAGCCAAGUCGCGUGAGGGAUGAAGGUUCUAUGGAUCGUAAACCUCUUUUAUAAGGGAAUAAAGUGUGGGACGUGUCCUAUUUUGUAUGUACCUUAUGAAUAAGGAUCGGCUAACUCCGUGCCAGCAGCCGCGGUAAUACGGAGGAUCCGAGCGUUAUCCGGAUUUAUUGGGUUUAAAGGGUGCGUAGGCGGCCUUUUAAGUCAGCGGUGAAAGUCUGUGGCUCAACCAUAGAAUUGCCGUUGAAACUGGGGGGCUUGAGUAUGUUUGAGGCAGGCGGAAUGCGUGGUGUAGCGGUGAAAUGCUUAGAUAUCACGCAGAACCCCGAUUGCGAAGGCAGCCUGCCAAGCCAUGACUGACGCUGAUGCACGAAAGCGUGGGGAUCAAACAGGAUUAGAUACCCUGGUAGUCCACGCAGUAAACGAUGAUCACUAGCUGUUUGCGAUACAGUGUA